rnacentral:lncRNA from 1 species
GAAGAAGAUGAUAAUGAUGAAGGACCCAGUAACCCCACAAGAAGACCUGAACCCAAGAGACGGAGAACUACCGCCGGAACUUUCUCUUGUAGCGCCGUUAUCCGUCAACAAGAAGAAGAAGAAGAAGAAAGAGAAAGGGAAAGGGAAAGGGAAAGAGUUGUUGAGGAAGAAGUAGAGGAGGAUGCAGAGGAGGAGGCAGAGGAGGAGGCAGAGGAUUGGGGAUCAGAAUCGGAAUCUGAGGGAAAUUUCCGAUCGAGCGGUGAUCGGAGAGUGCCGGUUCGUGAAUCGGAGGUUUCAAGAGAGAACAGGUCCAUUUCUGUGGAGGACCCAGACCAGAAUUUGGAGGGUUCAAGAGGAAACGGGUCAAUUUCUGUGAUGUUAUCGGAUCCGGAUGUGUUGGAUUGCCCAAUCUGCCUCGAACAUCUCCGUGUUCCAAUCUUUCAGGUUUCUUCUUUUUACCCUUUUCAUUGCUAUUAGGAGUACAAGAAUUUAUCUGUUGGAAUUAAUUGUGUUUGGAGAAUUCUUGAUUUGCCUUGGAGGUUUUUGAAUGAAAUGGUCUUGAAUAGAAGGGAAUUCAUAUUGACAUUUAUAAUCUGACCCAUAUAGUUUAUUGCUCUAAAGGAGGUGUAAAAGUUGCCUUUUUUGUUAAUCCAACAGGUGGGGUUUGGGAGGAUAGAGUUUACGGAGACUUUAGCCCUACCUGGUGGAGGCAUGUCAGAUAAUAGAGAUAUGAUUACUUAGCAUUCAGUAUUGCAUUGAAAGAGCUUAGGAAAUGUGGAUCUGUUAAAGAGUUUAGUUGGGAGAAUUGCUGACAGAGGAAUGACUACUUUAGGUGUUUAUCCCAUCUCAUGUGGUUUGAAUUUUGAAGUUAUAACAUUUCAUUCAAAUUGGAGAAUAACUGGCUAGUGUAGGUCUUUGUUUUACUGCUGAAGUCAUAGUCUUAAUGUCGUAAUAUUCAAGUUAGAGGAAUCACUAGGGUAUGGUGGUGGAGUAUAACAAGACACUUAAAGUGGGUAGAGGGCUACCAGAUUCCGAUUAGAGAUAACAAAUGGGUAUCAUUGUAUCCCGAUUUAAUGUGGGCUUAAGUUACUCUGUAAUUAGGCUCUCUUCUUCCCUAAAGGUUAUUGUUGUGUUUGCUAAGAUCCCUAAUACCCAGACCUCCCUGUUCCUCUGGUAAUAUGACUUUGACCUCCCAUAAAUAGAUAUCCCUGCCCAUAGGAAUGCCCUUCUCAGACCAAUUAAUUGCUCUUUCACCUCCCAUAAAUAGAUAUUGCAUGUUCUCCACCUUUUCCACCACUCCAUUCCGUAUCUCAGGUGCUUUGUAUUUUGCACCCAAAUAAGUAGAGUGGAAAGAUCAUGUGUCAUACCCCAGAAUUCCGUGCCAGGGUAUUCAAAUUUUAGACUUCAUUGAUAGGGUAGAUCUUGUUCUUCAUCAUGUUAAUAUGUAGUCCAGAGACAACUUCAAAUAGCAUGAGAGUUAGAUUGAGAUGUAGAACUUGGAGAGUCUCUGCCCCACAAAAGAUUUGGGUAUCAUCAAUGAUAGAAGUUAUUAACUGGUUACUAUUCCUUUGUUGGAGAUCUAUCUGAUAGAAGUCAUUAACUGUUUACUAUUCCUUUGUUGGAGAUCUAUCUGAUAGAAGUCAUUAACUGUUUACUAUUCCUUUGUUGGAGAUCUAUCUGAUAGAAGUCAUUAACUGUUUACUAUUCCUUUGUUGGAGAUCUAUCUGAUAGAAGUCAUUAACUGUUUACUAUUCCUUUGUUGGAGAUCUAUCUGAUAGAAGUCAUUAACUGUUUACUAUUCCUUUGUUGGAGAUCUAUCUGAUAGAAGUCAUUAACUGUUUACUAUUCCUUUGUUGGAGAUCUAUCUGAUAGAAGUCAUUAACUGUUUACUAUUCCUUUGUUGGAGAUCUAUCUGAUAGAAGUCAUUAACUGUUUACUAUUCCUUUGUUGGAGAUCUAUCUGAUAGAAGUCAUUAACUGUUUACUAUUCCUUUGUUGGAGAUCUAUCUGAUAGAAGUCAUUAACUGUUUACUAUUCCUUUGUUGGAGAUCUAUCUGAUAGAAGUCAUUAACUGUUUACUAUUCCUUUGUUGGAGAUCUAUCUGAUAGAAGUCAUUAACUGUUUACUAUUCCUUUGUUGGAGAUCUAUCUGAUAGAAGUCAUUAACUGUUUACUAUUCCUUUGUUGGAGAUCUAUCUGAUAGAAGUCAUUAACUGUUUACUAUUCCUUUGUUGGAGAUCUAUCUGAUAGAAGUCAUUAACUGUUUACUAUUCCUUUGUUGGAGAUCUAUCUGAUAGAAGUCAUUAACUGUUUACUAUUCCUUUGUUGGAGAUCUAUCUGAUAGAAGUCAUUAACUGUUUACUAUUCCUUUGUUGGAGAUCUAUCUGAUAGAAGUCAUUAACUGUUUACUAUUCCUUUGUUGGAGAUCUAUCUGAUAGAAGUCAUUAACUGUUUACUAUUCCUUUGUUGGAGAUCUAUCUGAUAGAAGUCAUUAACUGUAUACUAUUCCUUUUUUGGAGAUCUAUCGUGAUAGAAGUUUUUAACGGUAUACUAUUCUUCUGUUUGAGAUCUGUCAUGAUAGAAGUUAUUAACUGUACGCUAUUCCUUUGUUGGAGAUCUAUCGUGAUAGAAGUUAUGUACCUAGGCCUCUUUUUAGAACUCUUGGUUUUAGCUCACUGUAACUUCAGAUUUAAUCUUGUUACUGCAUUUGAAGGCAUAGACAACUGAGAUUCAGAUCCUAAGAUCUACAUCCUUCUCCUUGCCAGGGUGGUUAAUUUCUGUCUUUUUUCAUCUAAGAGUUGCAGAACAGCCACAAUGGUUUUACUCUAAGGUAGAAUAUAGCUAUUGGUAAUCAAUUUGUUGUUAUUACAACAAAAUAUGACAUUUUAAUGCAUGAGCAUGUUUAAUGAAAUUAUUGAGUGUUUUGAACUAAGCAAGAAAUGAUGAAGAGCAGGACUCUAGAGAUGUGAUAAAUGCUAAUAUGAAAGGCUAAGUAGUGAAGUGAAAGUGGAUGUAUGAGCCUUUUGGACCAAGCAAGAAAUUAAAGCCAUGACUCUAGGUUUAUACAAAAAGCUAAAUAGUGAAUUUUAAGUGCAAUUUGUUUAUGCUUUCCAUGUAACACAUUUUGCUUUUUCCCUACUUCUUAAGCUGUGUACUUUGAGAAACCUUGAAAUUUAUAAGCAAGCAGAGUGGAGUAAGCUGUCAUCUGCAAACAUUCAAACUGCUUACUAUGAACAUAUCUUCUGACAUUCUUUUAUCUUUCUGGACAAAAAUAUAGUGUGAGAAUGGGCACAUAGCAUGUGCCUCCUGCUGCACCAAGAUUGCUAAUAAGUGUCCAUCAUGCUGUUGGCCAAUUGGAUAUAACCGUUGUCGAGCUAUGGAGAAGGUUGUAGAAUCUGUGAAGGUCUCAUGCGUGAACAAAAUGUAUGGUUGCAAGGAGAUCCUGAGUUAUAGUAAGAAAACUGACCAUGAAAAUGCAUGCAUCUAUGUGCCUUGUUCUUGUCCUUCCCAUGGCUGUGACUUUAUAGGUACCUCAACAAACGUAUAUGCACAUUUUAGCGACAAACAUGCUUCUUCGGCAGAGCACAUUUUUUUCAAUGCUGUCCAUCCAAUUCAUAUUGAAAAAGAUCAAAGUUACAAAAUUCUUCAAAUGAGGACAGAAGGUAUACUUUUUAUCAUCAACCAUGCUAGCGACCGUGUUGGAAGUGCUUUCAACAUUAUCUGUGUUGGACCAAGUAGGCAGAAGAGAAGGUUCUCGUACAAGCUUGUAGUAACAGACGGGGAAAGCUCCUUUAAACUAGAAUCUGUUGCAGAGUGCAUCCCAAACUGGUCAGAAAAUAGUCCUUUGAAAAAAUUCCUCGUGGUCCCAAGAGACGUCGUUAAUUCCAGUGCUCCGCUGAAGUUGAAUGUUUUCAUAGAAGAGAAGGAAUACGUCUGCAAUGGUUGCAGAUGUUGAUGUAAUCUUAUUUUAUCAUGUCUUGGCUUGUUCAUACCUUGCUAACUUCUUUAGAAAUUUUAUGUCAAAUAGUUAUUGGAUUGGUGCUGCUAUAUUUGGGGAUUUGAAUUUGUGCUGUUGAAUGUCAAAGGGUUUUGAAUAUUAUGUUUGAUAUUGUUAUGCUAGAGUAGUUUGUUUAGCCUUGCUUCUUAAAUCAGCUUGUUCCCAAAAGUGUUUAUUUCAAAAUUGCUUUGUUAAAAUGUACUUCUUACCGAGAAGUAGUUUGUGUUUGGUCAAUAAAUUUUAGAUGCACUUUUAAAAGUGUUUCUAAAUAUAUUUUUCUCUAAACUGAAUUCGAAUGCCAAAUAUGUUAGUAAGUAUUUCUAAAUUAAUUUUUCUCUAAAUUGGUAGUACUUUUGGGUAAUGCAGGUGGUAACAACAAAGGAAAUGACCAACAUAGGUUGUGGUGCAAGCACCACCAUUGAAUGGAUCCUACAAUGUGUGAUCUAAAUUUAAUCAAACUAUAAUACGAAUUUCAAACACCAAAUAAAAAAACCAAAAAAUAGAAAAAGAAAAACAACAAAAGAAACGGGCUAAACCCGGUGCCCGAUUGUACUCUUCCUCUUUACCGAUGAAAAAAAUCAAAUUAAAGCAAAGAACCUAAAGGUACAACCCUAAUCAGCACAAAAACGAACGCCUGAAUUCCCCGGAGGCCGACGAGUUCGCCCCCAUCUAGUCGUCGAUCAACUUCCGUCACCGUUCAUAGCUGCCGGAAUCCUAGUAUAAUUGACAUGGUUGAGGUUGAGGCUGAGGCUUCUCCACCUGAUCUCACCACACAAUGACAAUGGUUUCAAUUCUCAAUUUCCUUCGAUUUUUCAUCUUGCUUUGUGCCUUAUAUUACCUUAUAUUUUGUUGUUUUACAGUCAAUUUUCGAUUUCUUUGUUUUUGCCGAACAGCAGCAACCACUUAUUGUUCAUCAAGGAUCAUUUGGUUCUCUUUCAGUUUAAAAUAGCUUAAACUUUGAAGUUUCUCUUUUAUGUUUUAAUGAAAUGAUGUAUAGCCAUGCAAAUGUCUAAGGCUUGUUUUUAGACUACCAAUUGGGAUGAAGGAGUAGGCAACUGCUAAACUGUUUGGAAGAGGGAAAACAGAGUUCCUGAAUGUUACUGCACCAAUUGGUACUUUUAGAACCUACUGUAAUCCUACAACUGGGUCUGGAGAGGAUAAUAUGUGCGCAACCUUACACCUAUCUUUAUGGGUAGAGAGGUUGUUUCGAUCGACAAUCGGCAAUCCUCCUUUAUCCGGGCUUGGGACGGGAAAUUUGAGCCAGCUCACACAGGUGAAGUUGUAGUGAACAGAGCACAAGACAUUUAUAUCACAUUUAAAAGAUGAUGUAGGAAAAUGGAACAAUCUAAUCUGGGUACGGUAUAUUUAGUCAUUUGUGCCUGAAUGUAUGAUAGUCCAGGUUUUCUUUCGUGGAGUUAUUGACUUGUCGAAGUACUAGUGGGCUUCUAAAGAGACUGAGGAUAUCUACCAUGUAAAAAUGAUAACUUUGUCUAUAAAGUAAGGACAUGAUAUAUCAAAGUGCAAGUAUCAGCUCUGCUUGGCUGUUUUGUAUUGGACUAUCAGCAUAUUUCACUCCAUUACAUGGUUUAAUAGCAUAUCAGUCACAAAACAAAUGCACUGUUUAUUGAGGAAAUUGGCAGUAUGAAGAAACUGACAUUGAGGAGUAGCUGAAUCUUCACGAAUUAGCAGUACGAAGAAGCCUAACAUUUAGGAGUGUAUGCAUAAUACUGCAGCCGGCUUGCAGACAUGUUUUCAGCUGAUGCUGUAGUUGGGAGCAUCAUAGCAUAUAACAGUCACAUUUUCUAAAUGUGGUAAAAUGUUCAUUUGCUGUACAGUCAAAAUAGUUCAUUUUUUUUUCGGAUUCUAUGUGCUUUGGUAUCAUCUUCGUGAUUUGACUCGUUUGUAACAUUGUUGGCCUUGUGGAGUUUUAGCAUACAUGUUUUCGUGUUCUUUUAUUUUAAGGUGGAUGGUUAUUAUAGGUAACUGAAUUUCUCCAUUCUUUAAUUUUAAGGUGCCUAGUGAAGGAGAAUUUGCAACGGGGAAGAGGAUGGAUCAAGGUAUUAGUGAACCUGAAGGGAGUAGAAAAAAGAAGAAAAAGCAAGUAGCCACUCCUCAUCCUACUUGCUCUUGGGUGCACUUGAGGUGACAUGUUUAUUUGAGUAAAUAAUCUUUGUAACUUGUUUAUCUAAUUUCCACUGCUUUUGAACCACCAUGUUCUGCUAACACUGAGAAUAAUAUUUGCAGCUGUGGCUUUAUUAAAAAGCAUAGUGCUACAACACAUCCUGAAUCUUUAGGCCUGAAAGCUGUAAGAAUCUAUUUCUAUGUAUGAAAUGCCUUAGUGCACACCUGUUUGUUACACUCAAGCUAACGUAAGAGCACAUCACUUUUCAGGCCACAGAGAUGGAAGCUGAUGGGUCCUGAGGAGAAGGUAAAGUACACUACUCGUGCCUGCAAAGUGUGGGAUAAGUACCUGAGCAGGUUAAACUCCCCCGAAUGUUUUCUUUAUAUGAUGAUGAAACUGGCAACUCUAAGAAUGUUUAAUAUCUUUGACUUCUUAUGUCCAACUUUAUUGAUUUUCAGUUAACGCUUCCGCUUCUCUAUAUGUGAUAUUGUCGUCUGCUUCAGGUUGUUCUCUGUAACAUCUUUUGAUAAGAUUACCAUGUUUAAGAUCCUUAUAUGCAUUAAGUUUAUGUGAUAGCAUGAACACCUGUGCUUAAAGCUUAUGUUUACAUGUAUUUCUUUGGUUAAUUCCGAUCCAUUGAUGACAUUCGUUCCUUUGUCAUUAACUCUGAUCAUGUCAGUGAUAUUCUUAGGUGAUUUUGGAGUUGUUUGGUGUGACUCUAAUAUGAUGCUAAAAUCUCUAAAAACACGUCGCUAAUCAAUCUAUUUAUACACUGCACCAAAAAAAGAAAGUCAUAAUAAAAUCCUAACUUGUUCAUCAAAUUACAAAUAGAAAGCUUACACAUAUAUGUAACAAAAGAUAUAACUAAAUUUAUAAUACAUAAACAUGACCUGUAACUUGGUGGCAGCUGACAACUAUGACCUUUAACUUUGGGUGUGUAUAAGUAGACACUUAAACUUGUAUAAAAUUGAACAAAUAGACACAUUCGUCCUACAUGGCAUCCUAUAUGACAAUUUUGUGUCCUAUGUGGCGUCCUACGUGUAUUAUGUCACAUAGGACACGUGUGUCUACUUGUUCAAUUUUAUACAAGUUUAAGCGUUUACUUGUGCACACUCAAAGUUGGAGGGCAUAGUUGUCCGCUGAAGCCAAACUAAUGGUCAUGUUUAUGUAUUAUGCCUUACAUUUAAUAUACACCUUUAAUGUGUGAAAAGACUUGUAAAAAUACAAUAUGAUACGAAGGAUAAUACAUAUUUUCCCCUUUUUCUCAGUGAUAUUUAUGUGAUAAUUCAAAGUUGAAUGACUAUCGGUAAAAUUUACUCUUACAUAAUUUAACAUGUUUGGGCAUGUGAAGAUUAGAUGCACAAAUGCUCCAUUGAGGAGGUGAGAGAGGUUGGAUAUAGUGAGUACGAUCAAAGAGAGAUAGAGGUAGGUCGAAAAAGUACUUGGAAGAGGUGAUUAGACGGACACAACAAAACUUCAACUUACCGAGGACAUGACCUUAGAUAGGAGGGUGUGGAGGUCACAAAUUAGAGUAGAAGGCUAGUAGGUAGUGAAGUGUUGUCUUGCUUCUCGACGGGUUAGGUUUGGUGGUUCCGCCCUAGCGUUAGCUUUAUUCUUGUAGUGUCUUGUUUUUUUAUUUUCUAUCACCAUUUGUUAUUUAUGGUGUUUCAAUUAUUGCUUUAUUUUGUUAUUGUUACUAUUUCUGUUUUAGUUGCUAUGUUUUUUUCAUUGUCGAUUUCCCUUUUCACUUACUUUGAUUUGUUAUACUCAAGCCGAGGGUCCUCCGAAAACCUCUCUACCUUCACGAGAUAGUGAUAAGGGAUGCAUACAAUCUACCUUCAUACCUCACUUGCGGGAUUUCACUGAAUACAUUAUUGUUGUUGCAUAAACUAACAUAUUAUCUUUUAUCUACUAUAUAUUUAAAGGAAUUAAAUAGUAUUUACUCAUAGAGUAAAGAAUUUUAUAUUAUUAAUUAAUUUUUGAUGACAUAUUACUUAAAUUAUGAAUCAAUUAUUAAAUAAGAAUUAAUGUUUAGGAUUAUUUUUUUUCAAGGCAAAGUACUCUACAAUUUAUACAUUUUUACUAAUAUAUCCCUUCUUAAUUAGUUAGCAUAUCUCAUAAGUUUGGUCAAGUUUCAUGUUAGAAUUUAUCCUUCAUCUACACAAUAUUUUAUUUUAUUUUACAUUUUAUAUAUUACUAUUUUAUAUUUUAACUUGUGGAAUAUUUUUUUAAUUUAUUUGACUUGAUGUUUUUAAUUAUAUUUAAAUCAUCAUGUUAAUAUUUUUGUUUGAUUUAUCUAUUGAAAAUUUAUAAUAUGUACUUUUAAUCAAAUAAACAUAAAAAAUUAAUUUAUAAUUUUAUAAUGGCAAAAGUACUCAUUACCCCUCUGAACUUGAAGCUUUUUAUAUGGUGUACACCUAAACUAAAUUCCGUUUUAAUUACCCCCGAACUUGUUUAUUCCUUCAUCGCGUACACCUUUUUCGUCCACCUGCUCCUAUUGUGACUACAUGCGCGCGACAGCUGGCAAAAAGUGGUGAUGUGGAUUUCCACCCGGAUAAAUAAUAGCCACCUAGAUAAAUUAAUAUUGCAAAAAAUAAAUUUCUUAAAUUUAAAAUUCAUUGUUUAAAAGUUAUUUUUGAAUAAGGGCUGAUUUCGCGGAACUCCUUGAAUUUCAAAUUUGUCAAAAAAUUUUACCAAAUAAGUGUUAAUCUUUGUUUCCUUUACUUUUCAUUUACAUUUUGCCCUAUUUUUCGUUUAAAAUAUGCCAAAUAUUAAAGAAAAAAUGGAGAUUUUACGUGUUUUUACCGUUGUAGCUUUGUGAUGUGGCAAAAAAUCACUUCCUCACGCGCUUAGUAGAGUGUGUUGUCAAUUUCUACGCCAGGUGGACAAAAAGGUGUACGCGACGGAGGAAUUCGGGGGUAAUUAAAAUGGAAUUUAGUUUAAGUGUACACCGUAUAAAAAGCUUCAAGUUCAGGGGGUAAUGAGUACUUUUGCCUUUUAUAAUAGAUAUUCAAACUAGUUUUUUUUUUUUUUAUAUAAAAUAAUCUUAAUAUUAAAAGUGCAUUGGUAACUGUCCUUUUCAUAAUUUGACUCUCAAAAAUACUUUUUAAAAAAUAUUAAAAGUGCUUAAAAAAAUAAACAUUUUCUAGCUGCUUGGCCAAAUAGGUCAAACACCCUGCAAGUUCAAUGUACUAAUGACAUUAAAAAACAUAAUUCAAAUUAAGUUAGUCAUUAAAUAAAUUCUUGAUAAAUUAUAAUUGGUAAUCUAAUUACUCAUUUUCUUAAUUCAUGAAGAAUAAAAAUCUAUCAACUCUUUUUAAAUUUAUCCAAACACUUCAAAACUGCUUAAAAAUUAUUUUCACUUGAAAACACUUAAAACAAGUCAAUCCUAAAGACUCUUAAUCAAACACCGUCCAAGUUCAAUGUACUAAUGACAAAAAAAUAUAUUCACAUAAAGUUAAGCAUUAAAUAAAUUUCUUAGUAAACCAUAAUUGGUAAUCUAAUUACUCAUUUUCUUAAUUCAUGAAGCAAAAAAAUAAUCUAUAAACACUUUUUUAAUUUACCUAAACACUUCAAAAGUGCUUACAAAUUUUUUAGUUAAAAACACUUAAAACAAGUCAAUUCAAACACACUCAUAAUCAAACACCUUCCAAGUUCAAUGUACUAAUGUGACAUAAAAAAUACAUAUUCAAAUAAAGCUAAUCAUUAAAUAAAUUUCUUGGUAAUCUGAUUACUCAUUUUCUUAACUCAAAAAAAUAAAAUCUAUACAACUUAUUUAUAAAUUAAAUAAAACUAUUAUACCUCAUAGUCAAACACUUUUUCAAGAAAACAUUUAAAUUCAAAUCUCAUUGUAUUUGACCAAAUUCGAUUUUGUUACCAAAUU